rnacentral:rRNA from 1 species
UACGGAGGGUGCAAGCGUUAAUCGGAAUUACUGGGCGUAAAGCGUGCGCAGGCGGCUAUGCAAGACAGAUGUGAAAUCCCCGGGCUCAACCUGGGAACUGCAUUUGUGACUGCAUGGCUAGAGUACGGUAGAGGGGGAUGGAAUUCCGCGUGUAGCAGUGAAAUGCGUAGAUAUGCGGAGGAACACCGAUGGCGAAGGCAAUCCCCUGGACCUGUACUGACGCUCAUGCACGAAAGCGUGGGGAGCAACAGG